UUUAAGAAUCUAAAAUGUCUUUUAAAUGCACUGUGUUAUAGAACACUCAUUCUAUUAUUGUAUUCCAGAAUCAUUCUUUUUAGAAUCUAAAAGAAAUUCAGACAGAACCAAAGAAAGGAGGACAAUGGAAAUGUGAAGAAAGCCCAACAACAGAGAACAACUGACAAGCAUACGAAUCUCUCAAAGGUUUCGGGUGCUCUCUGGUUUGAUGCCUUAGAGCUCCCAAAGAUGUCCAAUGGAGAGGCAAGUUGCAGUGGGGAGGGUGGACCCACCUGCAGCUGUUGGCAGCGGUGC